rnacentral:tRNA from 1 species
GGAGAGGUGCCGGAGUGGUCGAACGGGCCGGUCUCGAAAACCGGUGUGCCUGUAAGGGUACCGGGGGUUCGAAUCCCCCCCUCUCCGC